GCGGCGGCGCCCCGCCUCCCUCCCCCUCCCCGCUGUGCGGCGCUUGGGAGCAUGGCGACGCCCCCGCUCCUGGAUCCCGGCGGCGGCGACACCCGGCUUCCCGAUAAUGGCGGCGGCGACGCCCGGCUUCCCGAUCAUGGCGGCAGCGGCGCUUCCCUCCAUGGCGGCGGUGCCCGGCGCAGCGGCGCUCCCCUCCAUGGCGGUGGCUCACUCCCCAUCACGGCGGCUGCGGCCCCUGGCGUGGCUCGACGGCGGCGGGCCCCUGGUGGUCACGCACCCCCGGGCCCCAGAUGCCAAGGGUGGAUUGGGGGUCCCGGAUUGACAAGUGUUCCUAGAAGCGCUGGGAUGCAAGCGCAAGACGCACGCGGAGGCGAAAGCCCUCGCCAAUCCCGCCAAGGUGGCAGCGGCCUGAAUCGUGAGAUACAGUAUAUGAAAGUUGCCCAAGGGAGCUGAGCAGCGAGGUCGAGUGGACAAGGCCUCCCAAGCGGCAAAGAAGGACGGGGCAAGACUGUGAAAAAGACCGCCAUAAAUCUGAAAGACUGUAAAAGACUGAUUCCUGACCAGGAGCAUGAUCACUGGCGAAUGGAUUAAUGGAAGAUGUGUAGCAUGUGGUUUGAGGAUCUAUCUAAUCAGGCAGCAGGGAUCUUAAAUUGUCGGUUGGAUGGGUGGAUGGUGCGUGGCGGCUGCCAAGCCCCAGCGGGCGACACAUGCGGCUCCUCCCGACGGAUCCCUCGGCCCCGCGCCCCCGGAGCAGCGCUAGAUGGGCAGUGUGAGACGGCCUCCGGCCCCCGGUGGCCGGUGCGCGGCGGCCUGGCCCCCAGCAGGCGGCUUGCGGUGGCCAGGGCCCCAACGGGCGGCGCCCUUGGCCAGAGGGAGCUGCUGUCGAUUAUUGAUAUUUCGUGCUUCAAAAUCAAUAUUUGAUUCUUUCUAUGAUAUGUAUCACUGUCUUAUAUAUGAUAUGUAUCGCUGCGUCUUAUAUGAUAUGUAUCACUGCCAUAUAUACCUGUAUUGUUGUCAUCUGUGAUCUGCCUCUUAUGAUCAGUAUCGCUACCUUCUGUGAUAGUAUAAUUGAUUUUGUAUCAUUGCCUUCUAUGACUUGUAUCACUGCCUUAUAUGACCUUGUAUAGAGUAUAAACUGUAUCACAACUUUCUAUGACCUGUCCUUUAUAAGGUGUAUUACUGCCUUCUA